rnacentral:pre_miRNA from 1 species
AAUGGGAUAGCUGGGUCAAAUGGUGGUUCCAUUUCCAGUUUUCCAAGGAAUCUCCAUACUGCUUUUCAUAUUGGCUGCACCAAUCUGCAGCCCCACCAGCAAU